GACGAACGCUGGCGGCGUGCUUAACACAUGCAAGUCGAACGAACAGCGUUGGACGCUUGCUUCUCUCCCACUUAGUGGCGAUUGGGUGCGUAACGCGUAAUCAACCCUCCCUUCAGUGGUGGCCAACAGUUACUAACGAUUGCUAAUACUGCUACCGAUUUAUUCUCGGCAUUGAGGUUAGAUUAAUGGUGGCCUCCACUUGUAUCCCAUCACUGUAGGAGUGGGUUGCGUCUGAUUAGCUAGUAGGAGGGGUAACGGCUCACCAAGGCGAUGAUAAGUAGCCGGUCUGAGAGGAUGAACGGCCACACUGGGACUGAGACACGGCCCAGACUCCUACGGGAGGCAGCAGCAGGGAAUCUUCCGCAAUGGACGAAAGUCUGACGGAGCAACGCCGCGUGAGUGAUGACGGCCUUCGGGUUGUAAAGCUCUGUUAUUAGGGACGAAAGGCCUUGUGGCGAAUAAGGAGAAGGAGUGACGGUACCGGAAUAGAAAGCCACGGCUAACUACGUG
rnacentral:rRNA from 1 species